rnacentral:rRNA from 1 species
CCUACGGGGUGCAGCAGUGGGGAAUAUUGCACAAUGGGGGGAACCCUGAUGCAGCAACGCCGCGUGGGUGAAGAAGUACUCCGGUAUGUAAAGCCCUGUCAGCAGGGAAGAAAAUGACGGUACCUGACCAAGAAGCCCCGGCUAACUACGUGCCAGCAGCCGCGGUAAUACGUAGGGGGCAAGCGUUAUCCGGAUUUACUGGGUGUAAAGGGAGCGUAGGCGGGGAUGCAAGUUGGGUGUCAAAACUACCGGCUCAACUGGUAGUCGCACUCAAAACUGCAGCUCUUGAGUGAAGUAGAGGCAGGCGGAAUUCCUAGUGUAGCGGUGAAAUGCGUAGAUAUUAGGAGGAACACCAGUGGCGAAGGCGGCCUGCUGGGCUUUUACUGACGCUGAGGCUCGAAAGUGUGGGGAGCAAACAGGAUUAGAUACCCGGGUAGUC